rnacentral:rRNA from 1 species
UACGUAGGGAGCAAGCGUUAUCCGGAUUUAUUGGGCGUAAAGCGUUCGUAGGCGGUUUGUUAAGUCUAAAAUUAAAGCCUGGGGCUCAACCUCAGUUCGUUUUAGAAACUGGCAGACUUGAGUGUGGUAGAGGCAAGUGGAAUUUCUAGUGUAGCGGUUAAAUGCGUAGAUAUUAGAAGGAACACCAGUGGCGAAGGCGGCUUGCUGGGCCAUUACUGACGCUGAGGAACGAAAGCGUGGGGAGCAAA